rnacentral:rRNA from 1 species
CCUACGGGAGGCAGCAGUGAGGAAUAUUGGACAAUGGGCGCAAGCCUGAUCCAGCCAUGCCGCGUGCAGGAAGACGGUCCUAUGGAUUGUAAACUGCUUUUGUACAGGAAGAAACACUCCCUCGUGAGGGAGCUUGACGGUACUGUAAGAAUAAGGAUCGGCUAACUCCGUGCCAGCAGCCGCGGUAAUACGGAGGAUCCAAGCGUUAUCCGGAAUCAUUGGGUUUAAAGGGUCCGUAGGCGGUUUAAUAAGUCAGUGGUGAAAUCUGGUCGCUCAACGAUCAAACGGCCAUUGAUACUGUUAGACUUGAAUUAUUAGGAAGUAACUAGAAUAUGUAGUGUAGCGGUGAAAUGCUUAGAUAUUACAUGGAAUACCAAUUGCGAAGGCAGGUUACUACUAAUGGAUUGACGCUGAUGGACGAAAGCGUGGGGAGCGAACAGGAUUAGAUACCCUGGUAGUCCACGCCGUAAACGAUGGAUACUAGCUGUUGGGCGCAAGUUCAGUGGCUAAGCGAAAGUGAUAAGUAUCCCACCNCGGAGUAGUUGUGAGAGUAGAAGUAAGUAAGUUAGAGGCGUGAGAGUAGCGACGGACGACGACGAGGGAGGAGG